rnacentral:rRNA from 1 species
CCGGCGACCGGCGCACGGGUGAGUAACACGUAUGCGACCUGCCCCCGCAGGGGGAUAACCGGGAGAAAUCCCGACUAAUACCGCGUAACGCCGCGGACCUGCAUGGGUCUGCGGCCAAAGGAAGCGAUUCCGGCGGGGGAUGGGCAUGCGGCGCAUUAGCUAGUCGGCGGGGUAACGGCCCACCGAGGCGACGAUGCGUAGGAGUUCUGAGAGGAAGGUCCCCCACACUGGUACUGAGACACGGACCAGACUCCUACGGAAGGCAGCAG